CAAAGUGCUGGGAUUACAGGUGUAACCCACCACACCUGGCCGGAAAUCUGGGCUUUUAAAAGUACCUCGGUUGAUUCAGAUACACGGGCAGUUUGAGAAGUGCUGGCUUAGAGCAAAGCUUGGAGAGGAGAAAAGUGAAUAUACUGCUUACAUGUCUCAGAGGGUUGGGCCGGGGUUCCUCCAGUCUGAGAUAGAAGAGAGACCUGGCAGGCUUCCUGAAGGAGGAGGCAUGGAGGCAGUGUCGAGGAUGGGUGCCAGUCUUCCAGGGAAGGAAGAGGAGAGGUGGAGGGGUGUUGCCACCAGUGGCCCAAAAGGAUGGGGCUCCAGCCUCCAACCUCACAAUGACCACCUCUAGAAGUUGGAGGAAGGUGGCUGCAGCCCCAGUGUGUGACAAGGGUCCUAUGAAUCAGGAUGCCCCUGGGGGAAAGGACACCCUGAGCAUGAUGUCCUCUGUCCACUCUGCUUAGGAGGAAAUGGGGGGCAGCACUUUCUAAAGGAGGCCCAGUCAGGACAAAACCUCAGGCCUGGGAUUAGCCCAGUGGGCCUUGCCUGGAGGUGGCACCUUACGCUCUGGAAGGAGAGCUGCCCCAGCCUAGAAGGGCUGGGGGAAGGAGAAGAAAGAGGGGUCGAUGAUGGUCAGCAGCAUCUGCCAUUUCUAUCAUGAUCCAGAGGAGGGGUGGCCAGUCUGGAGUCGCAUGGCAGGUAUUAGGACUAGAACUCAGUGAGGCCAUUUGGAACAUACAAUGCCCAUCUCACUGCCUCCCACCUCCUGAGCACAGGCGGGCCAUUUUCCUGUUUUCGGCCCAGCACAGGCGCGGGGAGAGAAGGCAGCAAGAGGGACUUUUU
rnacentral:lncRNA from 10 species